GUCCCGCGUCGCGGUGGUGCUUCGCUGUAACCAGUUUAAACGCUCUUGUUUUUCACUCACACUGAGACGCUCUGUAAAAUCUCUAGGCACCUGUUUUCGUCACUAGCGCCAUGUCUUGCGCCACUGACUAUGACGCUCAGUUCGCGUCGCGUUUCUCCGCGGAGGACGUGGAGUUCCAGCGGUACCGGGAGCGCGCACCGGACGCGCCGCCCGUGGUCGAGGACUGGAGAGCGCGCAGAGACCGGCGGGCUCCGGAGCACCGGCAGCACGAGCAUCGCUUCCCUGAGCGCCGCCAUGACCGGAACUUCGGCGCUUACCACCAGCGAUCACGAUUCUGACAGGGAACCAGACCCCAAGCGAUGCUUGUCGGAUCACUGUUGAUCUUAGUGGAGUUACACUGGCUUCUGUGUAAAUAAAGCAGUUCAAAUGAU